AUUGAACGCUGGCGGCAUGCUUUACACAUGCAAGUCGAACGGCAGCACGGGGCAACCUGGUGGCGAGUGGCGAACGGGUGAGUAAUAUAUCGGAACGUACCCAAGAGUGGGGGAUAACGUAGCGAAAGUUACGCUAAUACCGCAUACGAUCUAAGGAUGAAAGCAGGGGAUCUUCGGACCUUGUCCUCCUUGAGCGGCCGAUAUCUGAUUAGCUAGUUGGGGAGGUAAAGGCGCACCAAGGCGACGAUCAGUAGCUGGUCUGAGAGGACGACCAGCCACACUGGAACUGAGACACGGUCCAGACUCCUACGGGAGGCAGCAGUGGGGAAUUUUGGACAAUGGGCGCAAGCCUGAUCCAGCAAUGCCGCGUGAGUGAAGAAGGCCUUCGGGUUGUAAAGCUCUUUUGUCAGGGAAGAAACGGUUGUGGCUAAUAUCCAUGGCUAAUGACGGUACCUGAAGAAUAAGCACCGGCUAACUACGUGCCAGCCGCCGCCGUAA
rnacentral:rRNA from 1 species